rnacentral:rRNA from 1 species
ACGCUGGCGGCAUGCCUUACACAUGCAAGUCGAACGGUAACAGGUCUUCGGAUGCUGACGAGUGGCGAACGGGUGAGUAAUACAUCGGAACGUGCCCGAUCGUGGGGGAUAACGAAGCGAAAGCUUUGCUAAUACCGCAUACGAUCUACGGAUGAAAGCAGGGGACCGCAAGGCCUUGCGCGAACGGAGCGGCCGAUGGCAGAUUAGGUAGUUGGUGGGAUAAAAGCUUACCAAGCCGACGAUCUGUAGCUGGUCUGAGAGGACGACCAGCCACACUGGGACUGAGACACGGCCCAGACUCCUACGGGAGGCAGCAGUGGGGAAUUUUGGACAAUGGGCGAAAGCCUGAUCCAGCCAUGCCGCGUGCAGGAUGAAGGCCUUCGGGUUGUAAACUGCUUUUGUACGGAACGAAAAGACUCUGGUUAAUACCUGGGGUCCAUGACGGUACCGUAAGAAUAAGCACCGGCUAACUACGUGCCAGCAGCCGCGGUAAUACGUAGGGUGCAAGCGUUAAUCGGAAUUACUGGGCGUAAAGCGCGCGCAGGCGGUUAUAUAAGACAGAUGUGAAAUCCCCGGGCUCAACCUGGGAACUGCAUUUGUGACUGUAUAGCUAGAGUACGGCAGAGGGGGAUGGAAUUCCGCGUGUAGCAGUGAAAUGCGUAGAUAUGCGGAGGAACACCGAUGGCGAAGGCAAUCCCCUGGGCCUGUACUGACGCUCAUGCACGAAAGCGUGGGGAGC